rnacentral:rRNA from 1 species
CGAAGGGAGAAAUUCAUUCGCGUCUCGACGUCGGAGUCGGGCGGUCGUGUGACGGAACGCGCGAGCGUUUCGCGCCCUCCGUCCUUCGAACCGGCGACGAACGCGUGCACUUUUCUCCUGGUAGGACGUCGCGAUCCGUCGGGUGUCGGUCUACGACUUGCGGUGGAGCCCGCCCGUCGUCUCGUACGUACGGACGGACCCGCUCGUUCCGGCCGACUCGCUCGACGGUAUACUGACGGUCGGAGGCCGCUCUUCGCGAGCGUUCGACUCGUCGCAAGCGCGCCACGCGCGUCGGCACGCGGACCUAGCGCCGCGUCCGGCCACUGGCGACUGUUGGCGACGAUGUUCUCGGACAGACCUCUCUUUGACCGAUCGGCGACGCUAUAGCUUUGGGUACUUUCAGGACCCGUCUUGAAACACGGACCAAGGAGUCUAGCAUGUGCGCGAGUCAUUGGGAAUCACUAAACCUAAAGGCGUAAUGAAAGUAAAGGUCCUCCUCGCGAGGACCGAGGGAAGACGGGCGGUUCGCCCUUAAAAGCGGCCGUCCAGCAUUCCCGGGGCGUCUCGUUCUCAUUGCGAGAAGAGGCGCACCAAGAGCGUACACGCUGGGACCCGAAAGAUGGUGAACUAU